rnacentral:rRNA from 1 species
UGAGGUUAAUAGGUUCGAGGUGGAAGCAUGGUGACAUGUGGAGCUGACGAAUACUAAUCGAUCGAAGACUUAAUCAA